AGCUGGUUCUCUCCGAAAUAGCUUUAGGGCUAGCCUCAAGUGAUGAUUAUUGGAGGUAGAGCACUGUUUGGACGAGGGGCCCCUCUCGGGUUACCGAAUUCAGACAAACUCCGAAUGCCAAAUAAUUUAACUUGGGAGUCAGAAUGUGGGUGAUAAGGUCCAUAUUCGAAAGGGAAACAGCCCAGACCACCAGCUAAGGUCCCAAAAUAUAUGUUAAGUGGAAAAGGAUGUGGCGUUGCCCAGACAACUAGGAUGUUGGCUUAGAAGCAGCCAUCAUUUAAAGAGUGCGUAAUAGCUCACUAGUCGAGUGACACUGCGCCGAAAAUGUACCGGGGCUAAACAUAUUACCGAAGCUGUGGAUUGUCCUUUGGACAAUGGUAGGAGAGCGUUCUAAGGGCGUUGAAGCAUGAUCGCAAGGACAUGUGGAGCGCUUAGAAGUGAGAAUGCCGGUGUGAGUAGCGAAAGACGGGUGAGAAUCCCGUCCACCGAUUGACUAAGGUUUCCAGAGGAAGGCUCGUCCGCUCUGGGUUAGUCGGGUCCUAAGCUGAGGCCGACAGGCGUAGGCGAUGGAUAACAGG
rnacentral:rRNA from 1 species